rnacentral:rRNA from 1 species
GUGGGGAAUAUUGGACAAUGGGCGAAAGCCUGAUCCAGCCAUGCCGCGUGUGUGAAGAAGGUCUUCGGAUUGUAAAGCACUUUAAGUUGGGAGGAAGGGCAGUAAGUUAAUACCUUGCUGUUUUGACGUUACCGACAGAAUAAGCACCGGCUAACUUCGUGCCAGCAGCCGCGGUAAUACGAAGGGUGCAAGCGUUAAUCGGAAUUACUGGGCGUAAAGCGCGCGUAGGUGGUUCGUUAAGUUGGAUGUGAAAGCCCCGGGCUCAACCUGGGAACUGCAUCCAAAACUGGCGAGCUAGAGUACGGUAGAGGGUGGUGGAAUUUCCUGUGUAGCGGUGAAAUGCGUAGAUAUAGGAAGGAACACCAGUGGCGAAGGCGACCACCUGGACUGAUACUGACACUGAGGUGCGAAAGCGUGGGGAGCAAACAGGAUUAGAUACCCUUGUAGUCC